rnacentral:rRNA from 1 species
UACGUAGGGACCAAGCGUUGUUCGGAUUUACUGGGCGUAAAGGGCGCGUAGGCGGCUUGUCAAGUCACUUGUGAAAUCUCUGGGCUUAACCCAGAACGGCCAAGUGAAACUGACAUGCUAGAGUGCAGAAGGGGCAAUCGGAAUUCUUGGUGUAGCGGUGAAAUGCGUAGAUAUCAAGAGGAACACCUGAGGUGAAGACGGGUUGCUGGGCUGACGCUGACGCUGAGGCGCGAAAGCUAGGGGAGCGAACGGG